UCUGAAUUAAAAUUAUGUACAAUUUAUUACUUAAUCGACACUUGAGAAUUACAUCUACAGUGUUACUUCAGGUAGCAAGUAAAGAUAGCCAAGUAAGAAUUUCAAAACUUUUAUUCCUGAUAGUCCAGAAAACAUCGAAAACUUGAUACAAGCGGUUCAGCCAUCAGCUGAUGGAGUUUGUUGUUAUUUCCAUGAACUAUAAUACAGCAGCAACUUAACAAACUAGUUCAUUUAGGAGCAUUUGCUGUCUGAUAAUUUUCAUGAAGCAGCUGGAAUUUGGUUAUUAAUUUGUCUCGAGGUGGCCAGUGCUCUUUGAUUACUGGAGCAUCAUAAAAGUUAUCCAUCCAUGCUGACAAGAGAGGAAAUUUGCCUGCAUCGAACAACUUCAGGUCGAUUACCUCUUCAAAUACAUCACGAAGAUAUGCCAACAAACCAAGUGAAAGGUCCAGGUAUCCUAUUUUCUCUCCACCAAAAAAUUUCUUCUCUUUCAGUUGCUCUUCAAGGAGUUCUAGAUUUUGUACUGCUGGACCAAGAGCUUCGUUUUUCUCGUUUCCUUGUCCUGUGAAUACACUCCAUAUUGAUGGAAGAAGCUGCGGACAAAAGAAACAUAUCAACAAAAAUUCAAUGCAUUCUUGAAAAAGGUUAGCUUCUUGUUAUAACUGGAAAAUGUCUUACUGUCUGAGUAAUACUCACUAUUAUCUUGGCACUCUCUUCACAUAUUAAUAUAGACACAAAAGGACAACAAUAACAACUACACAUCCGUCUCAAACAAGUUAUGGUCGGCUAUAUGAAUCUUCACUUCUUUUAAGUGAAAGCGUAAAAUAAGUUUUAUAUAUAUCACCUAUAUGAAUCUUUUUCUUUCAUUGAGCUCUAUCUUUAGCUAAGUCUAUAUUGAUUUUAAUGAUUUGUAGGUCUUUCGAAACAAUUUAUUUUAGGUCUACCCUGCCCCGUCUUAACACCUUCACUCACCAUAGUUUUAUACUGACGACCGGUGCAUCUGUAGGCCGAUUCAGUGGCGGAAAUUCUAUUUUUUUUUUCUUCUGAAAUUAACAGAUCAAUGGUUUCUUACCUUGUCCUCCCCAAAUUUUGCCCAAAAACGUGCUAUGGCUUUUUCAUAAGGGUCCUGAGGUAACAAAGGAGCUUCCUUCCAAGUCUCGUCAAUAUACUCGAGAAUUACCAGUGAUUCACAGAUUGGUUUGCCUUUGUGUACAAGCACAGGAAUCUUUUUGUGAACAGGAUUAUGCUGCAGGAGUUCAGGGCUCUUCUGGCUUAAAUCUUCAAAAAUGGUUUCAUAUUGGAUUCCUUUGAUAUGUAGCGCCCAAACGGCCCUCAAACCAAAUGGGCUCGACCAUGUUCUGUGAAGCUUGAGUUCUUCUGCCAUGUUGCUUUGCAAGUGAUAUCUGAAAGCUAAGUCUAUUUAAACACUCAGGUUGUUCUUUUAUUUGACAGAAGUGAUGUAUAAUGGAGUAUAUGGCUAGAAAUUCAUGUGCUUGGAAUUUUCUAGAUAAUGCAGUAUAUGGCUAGAAAUUCAAUUGGAGGAAUAUUUUCCAAAACUCCUUCUCAACUUUUCUCACCAUGUCCCCCACCUCACACCCCAACCCACCCACUCCAACCCCCACCCCAUCCCCACCUAUCCAC
rnacentral:lncRNA from 1 species